GGGAUUUGGCUCAGUGGCAGAGCACUUGCCUGGUAUGCCUGAGGCCUUGGGUUCAUUCCCCAGUUCAUUCCCC
rnacentral:tRNA from 1 species